UACGUAGGGUGCGAGCGUUGUCCGGAAUUAUUGGGCGUAAAGAGCUCGUAGGCGGUGUGUCGCGUCGGCCGUGAAAACCUGGGGCUCAACUCUGGGCGUGCGGUCGAUACGGGCAUCACUUGAGUUCGGCAGGGGAGACUGGAAUUCCUGGUGUAGCGGUGAAAUGCGCAGAUAUCAGGAGGAACACCGGUGGCGAAGGCGGGUCUCUGGGCCGAAACUGACGCUGAGGAGCGAAAGCAUGGGUAGCGAACAGG
rnacentral:rRNA from 1 species